rnacentral:rRNA from 1 species
AUUGAACGCUGGCGGCAUGCCUUACACAUGCAAGUCGAACGGUAACAGGUCUUCGGAUGCUGACGAGUGGCGAACGGGUGAGUAAUACAUCGGAACGUGCCUAGUAGUGGGGGAUAACUACUCGAAAGAGUGGCUAAUACCGCAUGAGAUCUACGGAUGAAAGCAGGGGAUCGCAAGACCUUGUGCUACUAGAGCGGCCGAUGGCAGAUUAGGUAGUUGGUGGGAUAAAAGCUUACCAAGCCGACGAUCUGUAGCUGGUCUGAGAGGACGAUCAGCCACACUGGGUCUGAGACACGGCCCAGACUCCUACGGGAGGCAGCAGUGGGGAAUUUUGGACAAUGGGCGCAAGCCUGAUCCAGCAAUGCCGCGUGCAGGAUGAAGGCCUUCGGGUUGUAAAUUGCUUUUGUACGGAACGAAAAGCCCUGGGUUAAUACCCUGGGGUCAUGACGGUACCGUAAGAAUAAGCACCGGCUAACUACGUGCCAGCCGCCGCGGUAAUAC